AACAGGCAGGAGGGGAAGGCAUGAAGGACCACAAUGGGGAAUUAAAUGAAAUUUCUCUCAAAAACAUCUGUAGUCAUUUGGAACAUGCAUUUUAACAGACUCCUGCACCCCCACCACAGUUUCAAGAACUUACUUCAUCAGAAGUUAAUUCGCUCCAUUCUAGACAUUCGUCAAUGAUUAGCCUUUUCAUCUCAUGCGAUUUGUUUCAAGGAAUUGAGAAACGAACAGAAAAGAUUAAACAAAAGGAAUAAUUGCUGACUACUUGAUCUACUGCUUCAUCACCUGUGAACGGUUGACUUUAUAGAAAGGUUGGCGACUGAAUUCUUGAAUUUGGACCAGUCCACUGAUUCCAAGCAGUCCUGGAGAAGAUUUCCACUGCCUCAGACCAGCAUUAUUUUCCGUACUGGUUCCUCAAGUUUCAACAUCUACUGGAAAGCUGGGAAGAGGAACACAGAGUUGUGAUCUGAUUUUCCAAAUAAGAUCUUCAGCAUCCUGCUGUUUUGCGUUUUAUAUUGGAAACUUUAUCUGUCCCAAAGGGGGACUGAAAAGGAAGGAAACUGGAUGGCACAUGGACUGACUGCAGCAAUACAACAAGAUAGCUCACAACCGUCUCCUCAGGGGGCUAAUAGAGAACGGGCAUUAUCACCGACCCAGCCAGAGAUGCUCAUGUCCCAUGAAUGAAUGAAGUCCUUGCUGAUAGAACAUUCAUGGGAAUGCCAUGACAUCCAAGGCUAUGACCCUAAUGUUGGCAAGUGGGACUAGUAUGGAUUUAUUUUUGACAGUCCAGGCAUGAUGGGACACAAGGCCUCUUCUGUAAGAAUAAUGUGGGAAUAUUCUUAAAUAUAAAUCCGUUUUUAAAUCUGUCAUUUAUUCAUCGACAAAGGUCAGGUAUUACAGUGGAA